UUUGAAAGGUAAGUACCAUUUUAUUUAGUGUUGUAGGAAAUGUUGGGUUACUUCUUAAAAACGAAACCAAAGAAAUUCAAAAGUCCCAAAGAAAGAAAGCAGGAAAUAAUAAUUCUAUAAUCCAAAAACGUUGGGCGAUCCUUCAGUUGGAGGAAGAGGGCGUCAGUUAAGUAGCUCACACAGUAGAUAUGGAGACACCAUAUGGAGAUACGGAGUUAAGUUUGGUGGAUACUAGGAAUUAAGUUCUCCACCUAAGGCAAUUAAUUUUUCAGCCUUGAGAGAUAAUUAGUAGUUCUAGAAAAAGAAAAAAAGUUGACUGGGAGAAGGGUGGGAGGGAGGAUGGUGCGUCAUUUAACAUUAAAUUGCCUCUCUCUACAGUAUGUGGCUGAGCAUCAUGGACCUUCCUCCCUCUGCCCCGUUGAGCUCCCACUGUUAGCAAAACUGAGAAGCACAUGCCUGUGUCUUCUUCAUACCGGCAUGUGCACACACACCUGUAUCUCCUUCAUACAGGCAUAUGCAGAGCCCUCACCAAUCGGGGUCCACAGCUGUUCAGUAUGGCAAAGGGCAGACUUACUCCUUCAUCCACUCUGCUGCCUUGAUGAGGUGAACACACUGGAAUAAGAUGGAGGGCAGGAUACCUGCCAAAGCCUGAGGCAUGAGAUGAUCUGAAACAAUUGGGCAAAGGCUGGACAUUUCAAAAAGCUGACUUCCAACUGCAGUUUAUGGGUAUAGAAUUUGAUGCUUCCCUCAAGUCCUGACUGCUCUUUCUGAGGCAGCCAGGCUAGGCCAAGAAAUGAGCUGCUCCAGCUUCUCCAGAGCACAGCAGCCUCCCAGGGCCUGUCAGCAUCUGCAGCAGCUGGAAGGAGGUCCCAGCUCUUCUGAGACAUAGGCCAUUUGUAGGAUUCUCCAGUGCUCCAAUUCACUAAUGUCUCCUAAUGGCUCAGAACAGGCUAAAGCUUCUCCCAGAUAACCCCUCCCCCAAAACUGAGUCCUCAGGGACAGUUGUUAACUGAAUGACCUCCAGGUUAUCUACUUUGGGAGGUGCAGGAAUGCUAUAAACUGAAUUUUUUCCCAGCAGCAGCAGAAGCCAGGCACCCUUGAGUCAAUUGUCCUUCAUUGUCCAGAGCUACCAAGUGGCAUUUCAGAGCACAGGAAUUUACUCCUCCACCCAGAUGUCCCUCUCAUAUGGACUGAGUCACACACCCCAGGUCCUAGCAGCAGACAUCUCCAAACCAACAUCCUUGUGAACACUGCAGAUCUCUACGCCAGCUCUCCAAUGGAAGAAGAACCACAUAGAGCACACCUGCCCCCCAGGGCACUUGGACUAUCACAGUAAAAAUACAUUUAUAUCAAGUAAAAAACAUAAUGCAGGACAAAUAUAUACAUGUACCUUUUCUUUCUUUCUUUUUUUUGAGACAGAGUCUCGCCCGUUGCCCAGGCUGGAGUGCAAUGAUGUGAUCUCAGCUCACUGCAACCUCCACCUCCCUGGCUCAAGCGAUUCUUGUGCCUCAGCCUCCCGAGCAGCUGAGAUUACAGCUGUCUGCCACCACACCCAGCUAAUUUCUGUAUUUUUUAGUAGAGACGGGGUUUUGCCAUGUUGGCCAGGCUGGUCUCGAACUCCUGACCUCAAUCAAGUGAUUCACCCGCCUCAGCCUCCCAAAGUGCUGGGAUUACAGGCGUGAGCCACCGCGUCCAGCCAUACAUGUACAUUUUCAGAGUUCAAGUGAACAUACAGUUUUCUUUAUAAGUAUGUAAAUAAAUUUCAUAGCACUACAAAAAUACAAGUCAUCUGAGAAGUUUACAGUGGUCCCAGUACUGUAGGAGAGAAUUAAAUAAAAUAAAAUAGCUGUAGAUAAUUAAAAGCUAAUUAGAUAAAUCAAGUUACAGUAUCAUCCUUCAGAUUAAAGUGCUCUGAUAUAACCAAUGCCACAGCAAACGAAAUCCUGGAAAGAGAUUGCACUGCCAAUGAUUUUGUCUCUUAACCUCAAUGUAACAAGGACACACAUAAAAGAGAUUCCUGAUUUAAUAACUGCUAUCAUCUUCACCCCCAACCACGCUAUUAGCCUGUGAUAUUCUUCCCCUAGGAGAGAUGUCAAGAUUAGAUGAGAUUCUAUCAUAGCCAGGGAAAAAAAUGAGAAAUACCAGAAACAUUCUAAUUCCAGUCUUAAGUGAGUAACAACAAAAUUACCUGAAAAAUCUCAGCUGGUGCUUUUAGCUAAGAAGGAAGCAAGUGCCCUAGUUAAAAAAAAAAAAAGUCUAUAAAUCUAGUUUUAAAAAUACAAAUUCAAAAAUAAGUAUCAUCUUCUUGCUCUGCACAGUUUUAUAACAAGGGGGUAAAAUGCUGGUGAGUCUAUUCAUGAGGGAAAAUGGAAAAAAAGCAACCAU
rnacentral:lncRNA from 10 species